rnacentral:sRNA from 1 species
CGGGGUGUAGCUUAGCCUGGUAGAGCGCUACGUUCG